rnacentral:rRNA from 1 species
UACGAAGGGGGCUAGCGUUGUUCGGAAUUACUGGGCGUAAAGCGCACGUAGGCGGCUUUGUAAGUUAGAGGUGAAAGCCCAGGGCUUAACUCUGGAAUUGCCUUUAAGACUGCAUCGCUAGAAUCGUGGAGAGGUGAGUGGAAUUCCGAGUGUAGAGGUGAAAUUCGUAGAUAUUCGGAAGAACACCAGUGGCGAAGGCGACUCACUGGACACGUAUUGACGCUGAGGUGCGAAAGCGUGGGGAGCAAACAGG